UUUACUCUACUGUGCAAAAUAAAAUGUGCCUAUGCUUCAGACAUGAGAGCUGAGUGACACACGAUUUCUCGUUUGCAGUUUUCAGACAGCAAAUGGGAAAUGUCUUUCGUUUCUGGCAGUUCUUGGUAAAGUAGAGGAAAAGACUGCCAGGGCUGAGACUUUGUAACUGGAAAGAACAUUAAACUGAGGUGGGUUGCUUUUAUUCAAACCUGGGGAUUUAAUUAUUAAUGUUGAACUGGACAAGGUUUUUUGCACUACAGUUGGCUGCUUUUCAGAGCGUAUUGUUUAUUGUUACCAAGAUGUGUCAUCUUGAAAUCUAUGCUGUAUUUUUUGGUGUUCAAAAUAGCUGGUUUUGAGAGAAUGGGGUUUCCAAAGUUCUCUGGGGCCACUGAUGGGAAUCACGUGCACACAGUUUGCCCUGCUCAAGGAGCACAUGAGUAGAUGAACCGCAAAAGGUACUACUCCAUUAUUACACAGGCCCUUGUGACCCACAGAGCCCGAUCUAUGGACGCCAAAGUGGGCUGCACUGGAAAAGUUCAUGAUGCCAGGGUUUUCCUGCAAUUCACUCCUGGUGCUCUGUAGCCUGUCUGUGCCUUUCCACUUGCCAUGAACCCCCUUCCCUUUGGUACUGUACUGGCUUGUUGGCUUGUCCUGGAUGUCCACCAUAAGUUCAUCAUGGAAGCACUUCCUCUUUGACUGCUCCAUGACAGUUCGGAAUCUCAGGUUCCUGCUGGUGUGUGGCUGGGCUGCAGAGGGAGAAGGGCCUGAAAGCAGACAUCAAGUAGUACAUUGUUGUCUCAGUACUUUAAAAAAGGUUCAGUGCAUCCUCAGAGAAAAGUGCCCGUGGAAUCUCAAGGCCAAAAUAUGAUAUUUUGCAUAAUUCAGCUUCAUUAUAUUCUCAGAGGAACACUUCAGUUCCCAGGAGCUCUGUCGACACAGCUGAGUUAAGCAGAGUGAAAAGAGUGCACACACAAUGCUACUAAUGGAUUCAGAGGCUGUCUCUCAAAAGACACAACACAGAAGAGGCAGCCCAGAGGGAGGUGUUUUUCCUGCUUUACCUGGGCUGUCUAUGUGCUCCACUGUAGCUCAGAAUCCACAUGACUUGGAGAACUACAGCUGCUUUAGAGUCUGUCUAUUUAAGUAGCAGCUCAGAAGGGACACAGGUUGUGGCGUGGACCCUGAGGAGAACAACAGAUACACCGUGAUCUCAGUGGAGCAUUUGCCCAUCUGUGCACAGUGCUGGAGCCCCAUAUCCCUAGGCAGUUCAGAUCAUAACAUCCUCAUUCAUUCUGAGCUAUAGUGUCUGAGCUGCCGUAGCUCCUCUACACAUUACUACCUACCUAUCUGGAAGCAGAAUCCAUGGAUGCCGGCAAAUGGUGUCUAUCUGCGUGUUUGUACAGCCCCUAACAGGAUGGGACCCAAUCCUACUGGCGCUUGUAGGCACUGCUGCAAUGCAAAUGUAUGAAA